AUAGUCUUACGGGACGCAGCAGUGAGGAAUAUUGGUCAAUGGGCGGUAGCCUGAACCAGCCAAGUAGCGUGAAGGAUGAAGGUUCUAUGGAUUGUAAACUUCUUUUAUAAAGGAAUAAAGUGAGGCACGUGUGCCUUUUUGUAUGUACUUUAUGAAUAAGGAUCGGCUAACUCCGUGCCAGCAGCCGCGGUAAUACGGAGGAUCCGAGCGUUAUCCGGAUUUAUUGGGUUUAAAGGGAGCGUAGAUGGGUUGUUAAGUCAGUUGUGAAAGUUUGCGGCUCAACCGUAAAAUUGCAAUUGUUACUU
rnacentral:rRNA from 1 species